CGCUGACUCAGCCCUGUACUUUCUUAGCAAACGCCAGCCGCCGCCCUCGCUCCUCCCAGCCGCCUCCAUGCUGUCUUCCUCCUCCUCCUCCAUCUUCCCGCAUCUCAUCCAUCUCGCCGGAUCCAAGGCGUGGGAGCACAGAGGCGAGCUUCUACGGCAGCGGCGGGAGACUGCAGGCAAAGGGCGACCCCAUGGAUCCGUGUCCAGCCCUCCUCAUCCCGGUUCCCAUGGAUCCGAGGCUUGCAGGCACGGAGGCAAACUGCCCCGGCGGCGGCGUCAACUGCAGGCAAGGGGCAAUGGUGGUGCCGCUCGAUCUGAUCUGCAGGAGAGGGACAAGAUGAGAGGGAGAGAGAGAUGAAGGAGAGGAGGAAGAAAGGGAGAGGAAGAGAAGAUGGAGGUGCGGCAUCGGCCGAGCGAGGGUCACUGGCGCGGUUUGUGGUGGCAAAAAUGACAUCGAAGUCCACCACUGUGAGCUGCUCGAACCGUAUGCGCCCGCCAACUUCCUUUCCCCUUCUGGUGGCCCCUUCCUACUUUAUGCAACUUUGAAAAUGAAGACAAUGACGGGGAGGAGGGCCUGCCUUUUCCUCAGCGGGGAGGUCGACAGUUGGAGGUUUUGUGAGUGAAUGAAGCAAAACAACAGGAAGGAAAUAGAGCGGGUAGUGUGUCAUCAUGCACACAGUUUGCCUUCCAUUGACGUGUGCACAACAGGGACCAUGCAUUGGAACAUCGAAUUCAACCGGCUUACAAGUUGAAGAGAAGGUUACGUAUGCUCUUUGUGAGCAGUACUAAGUAAUCUAAUGAUCUGCUCCAUGCAAUCUAAGAAAAAUAAAUGUGCAAGCCAUUUCUGAUAGAAGGUCUGGGUAUUAACUAUUUUUGUUUGUGUCUACAAGCUUUUGACUUUCUUGCCCGGUCUAUUGUUAUUUGCAAUAUUGGAUACUCUUGCCAUUUCUUGUGAAUAUUUUUUUGUUUGUCAUACUCUCAAUAUACUGCAUAUUAACUCUAUAUUGCAGAAUAUUUGAACAAUCAGAAUCUACAAGAAGGCAAGGAUAACUAUAUUAAACAUUUCACGAGAUCCUUCCAAUUAUUGGCACAAACUCCUUUUCAAGAUAUUACGGGUGUGGUUGACUACCGGAGAUUAUCAGAUGGAAAGAACGCAUAUCCUUCAUCUUUAUUUAGAUGUUUAAUUAGAUGCACAAGCGUACAUGAUUAUGUGCCAUAUCCCUUUUCUAUCCAGCUGCUGCAUUCUUUUCUUUCGUAUGUGUUGUCAUGGUCAUUAGUUUAGAUUGUGUUAAUAUUUAUGAUAUGGCCCAGAGUUGUGUUCUGUUUUUGCUCAUGCUUGCUGCUUGCAUGAUUGAACAUCUGGUGUUUUGUCUGAUCAACCAUUUGUGUGCAGUAGUAUUCAUUUUAUCCUUGAUCAUGUGCGUGUGUACAUGUACUGAAGUAGUUUUAAUUGAUAUAAAAGUUUUCAUUUAUUGCAGCAAUUUGACUUUAACUAGCCAUAGUCUACAAGGAACAUUAGGAGUAGACUAUAACUUUCCAUCUGGAAAGUGUUUUCUAUGCAGAAUUGGUUAGCAUUAUCUCUAGAUACAACUAUUACUAUUCAAUAGAUAACUUACAUGUUGCCGCAAACUGAUGUUUCUUCAACUGUACAGACUGAUGGUGAUGAUAUAUACUUAUAUGCCCAUUAUCGAGUGAUAGCUAUUGUUCUCUACCAAUGGUAUGUUUGCAACUGCAACCCAUAUUCCAAUAAUGGCCAUAGCCGAGAUGACAUGCAUCUGCGGGGAGAAUCACCAUGACGGACUGCAUCUGCCCAGACGAUUUUUGCAACGGCCACGACGAAGUGCAUCUCUCAAUUCCAGGAUCAGCAUGCUGGAUGAAUCCUCCUUGCCUGUUAAGUCGCAAUGGUGCAACCAAACACCAUGGAGGCUUCUGUAUUAGGGACGGUGAAUCUGCAUCGACAGUGAUGGAUGGAAAUUGCUCGCCCUCCUUCCUCCAUAAACCAUGGGGACCUUGUAUACUUGUAUUAGCCUCCCCAUCUAUCCAUCAGGAAGCCCUGACUUCCCCUGCUAUUGCUGUCGAAAACGCUACCCUUGCAGAACAUGAACUGAACUUAAGUAUGGCACAUGGAGCUUCAGUUCAAUUACUUGUAGAUGAAGGUGCUUGCUGAUUCACUCUUUAUGCAACACUCAUCUUUUAUACAUGAAUGUGAAGAUAAUUUGAAGCCUCAAAUGGGGAUGACAUUUGAAGGACUGAAGGUUGCGGAGUAGUUCUACAAGUCUUAUGCACACCACUCUGGUUUUAGAGUUCGUAUUGGACAACAAAAGAAGUUAGAAAAUGAGGUCAUUCACAAUAAAAGCUACUGUACAUGUUUGGUAAUGAUACCUACGAGAUACUAUCAUGGGUCAAGCACCAAUCAUUGCCUUGUGUCACCAGAUAAGCGUCAUUUAAUCAAAUCAAAUCGUUGAGGUAGUGAGAGGGCGAAGAAUGCAUUGUACACAUGCAGCAAAGCAAGCAGAGCUCAUUAAUACAAUUUUAUUGGUUUUAUGGAAUUUUGAAUUCUAUGUAAUGGAUGAGAGGUUGUGUUUAUUCUCCAAUUAUUUGUCCUAUUUCUAUCACAUUUGAUGCGUCCGUAAUUACUUCUGAGUGGUCUGUAGAUGCUGUGAA